rnacentral:tRNA from 1 species
CCGACCUGGGGCUUCUGCCCCGGGACCGCGGAGGGAAAGCAGGCCCCAGGGCGAGGCGGUCGCCGCGGACACGA